GAUCCAGUCUUCUCUCCAGGGAGCUCAGCAAAGGGAGGACGAGAUGAGGGAAGCAGAUGGGUCCAUAGUGUGAGACCCAGACUCCUGCUUCCUGGGAUCCAUGGGACUAGGUUUCUUGCUUGCUUGCUUCCCUCUCUUUUUUUCUCUUUCUUUCUUUUUUAAUUUUAGUUUUUCAAUACAGGGUUUCUCUGUGUAGCCCUGGCCGUCCUAGAACUCACAGAGAUCCGCCUGCCUCUGCCACCUGAGUGCUGGGAUUAAAGGUGUGUGCCACCACGCCCCUGCAGUUUCUUCCUUGUGACGUGUUUUCUAUUCCUGUCUGUCUGAUGUCGUGGUGCUUACAAUGUACCAUAAGAAUGAGCUUGACUUGGGAAAGGCAGUGAGGCAUACCAUGUUGAGUUCAGGGCUGGAUGCCAUUAGGCCCAGCUAUUGUCUCCUCAGCUGCUCCCCAAUGACUGCAUGAGUUUGCAAAGGAUUAGGGGUAAGUGUUGGGCAGUUACUGCCUUUUAGAAAGGCUCUGAAGCUGUAUGGCAUUUCCUGAGCUCCCUGCAGCACUGCAUCCCUGCCUGUCCAGAUGGACAUACAUGAUGAAAAGAAGAAAACACCGGAUGUGAGGAAGAAAAAGCUCCCUUGUAUAUAUUCACACAAGGAGAAUCACUGACAUACAAUUCACGUGGACGGUCCUGGAGUCACACAUAGCUGGAGACCAAGAAGAUGAGAGGGUGGAGAGAAGAUGGCAGACGGUCUAAUAACUCAGAUCCAGCGAAUGACAUGGUGGCUCUGCGGUCCUAUAAAUCUGCUGUGAGCAGCCCUUGCUUCUACAGGACAUUGCUUAGUUUUCUGACUGUCCUUCACAACCAACCCAAAUUCUGCACACUAGUGAGGAACCUGCGACAGUGUCAUGGCUACCGGAAAUUUGCCAAACCACAGAACUGAGCAUUGAACCCAGGGCCUUGUGCAUACUCACCACUGAGCCACAUUCCCAGCCUUCUUUUUACUUUUUAUUUUGAAGUAAGGUCUCAGUAAGUUAUUCAGGAGGUACCCAAAGCUUUUGAUGCCCAGGCUCCGACAAAAGUUGGACAGAUCCUUCAAAUCUCAGCUGAAGUCCAUCACCUUCAGUGGCAGCUGGGGAAAUGAUCGCUGAGGGUCGGCGGCAUCUGACACUGCAUUACAGAUGCGAUGCUGGGGAGGCCGGUGGUGCAAGGACCCUGGCAGAGUUGGAAGGACCCAAACCUUCUCUCCAUGUCUUAGAGUCACCGUGGUGGGCACAUCCUGGGCAGAGCUCCUCAGACUGUAACAUUCGCUAUCACCAGCUCACUGCAUGCCUGGAUUACUUUCACUUACAGGUUUUCCAAAUGUGAGCUGAGCUCCGAGAUGGGAAGCACACCUCCACCCAACUUCACAGGACCGGUGUUCAUGUCUCUCAAGUCUCCGGUGGAAACCUGCAGACUCCACAGUGAACCAACGGAAAGGAAAGAUGAGACAAGGCCAGUGCCCUCCAGCACAGCUGCCUGGGGGCAUUUGGACCCAGCAGGAAGAGAGAAAGGAUAAGCAGGAAUCCCCUGCUCAGAGCCCUACUCUAGCUUCCUGCCACUGCCAGGCAGCCCAAGAGCCCACACCAGCAUCUGCAGAUCCUGCUGCCCUGUCAUUGUCCUUCCCGGGGCCAGGCCUGGGCAAGGAGUUUGUCUUGUAGGACAGAGGGGACAGACAGCCUGCAGGAAACCCCAGCCUUGAAAUAAGACCCUUCAUAUGGCUGCUGAGGCCCUGACAGGGCAGAGGAGGGAAGAAACGUCGCUGGUCUGGCCUGGCCUGAGCUGACACAUUUAGACACCCAGUUGUGUUUUUAAAUAAAGUUAUCCACACUGUUAUUAUGUUUUGCACAUGAGUAGUGGGGAGGAAGAAGGAGGGAUUAAGAAAAAGAGCUUAUUGAAUGUGAAAAUAUAAAACACAUAAUAAUUUCA